UACGGAGGGUGCGAGCGUUAAUCGGAAUUACUGGGCGUAAAGGGUGCGUAGGUGGUUGUAUAAGUUAUCUGUGAAAGCCCUGGGCUUAACCUGGGAAGGCCAGAUAAGACUGUAUGACUUGAGUACGGGAGAGGGCAGUGGAAUUUCCGGUGUAGCGGUGAAAUGCGUAGAGAUCGGAAGGAACACCAGUGGCGAAGGCGGCUGCCUGGCCUGAUACUGACACUGAAGCACGAAAGCGUGGGGAGCAAACAGG
rnacentral:rRNA from 1 species